AAUGACCAUCAAAUAACAGACAAGGCUCCAUUCUAUCAGCAUUUUUACCUAACUACAGGACGGCACAACCUUAAAGAAAUUCAGGAUCUUUUAGAUUCUCAUCAUGGCCCAGUUCCACCUCAAAACCAGGCAACCAUUUUGAAUUUAUGAGCCGGGAUAAUUCCUGGAGUGUUUCAGUCUCAAAUUCAGUGUUAUAUUUGUUUCAAACUGACAAGAUCUAGAAUAUACGAAACAAAAUACAAACACUUACUGAAGAAAGGUAAUACCCGUCACUUAUAGAAAAUGGUACAUCUUCAGGUCAAAGUAAGAAUUCACUGCAGUAACAAUUAUUUUAUGCGUUGCCAUGCAUAAUUACCCCUUUCCUCUCUGUGUUAUUAAGAAAUACAAAUUAUUUACUAGUUAUAUAUACUUCAAAUAGAUCCUACUAAAU